GCCGAACGCUGGCGGCGUGCUUAACACAUGCAAGUCGAACGAAGUGGCGAACGGGUGAGUAACGCGUAAUCAACCUGCCCUUCAGGGGGGGACAACAGUUGGAAACGACUGCUAAUCCCGCAUACUGAAGGAGGGGUAUGCGUCUGAUUAGCUCGUUGGAGGGGUAACGGCCCACCAAGGCGAUGAUCAGUAGCCGGUCUGGGAGGAUGAACGGCCACAAUGGGACUGGGACACGGCCCAGACUCCUACGGGAGGCAGCAGUGGGGAAUCUUCGGCAAUUGAGGAAAGUCUGACGGAGCAACGCCGCGUGAGUGAUGACGGCCUUCGGGUUGUAAAGCUCUGUUAAUCGGGACGCGGUACCGGAAUAGAAAGCCACGGCUAACUACGUGCCAGCAGCCGCGGUAAUUC
rnacentral:rRNA from 1 species